GAUGAACGCUGGCGGCGUGCUUAACACAUGCAAGUCGAACGAGGAAGCUCAGCUUGCUGGGUGGAUUAGUGGCGAACGGGUGAGUAACACGUGAGUAACCUGCCCUUAACUCUGGGAUAAGCCUGGGAAACUAGGUCUAAUACCGGAUAGGAGCGCCUACCGCAUGGUGGGUGUUGGAAAGAUUUAUCGGUUUUGGAUGGACUCGCGGCCUAUCAGCUUGUUGGUGAGGUAAUGGCUCACCAAGGCGACGACGGGUAGCCGGCCUGAGAGGGUGACCGGCCACACUGGGACUGAGACACGGCCCAGACUCCUACGGGAGGCAGCAGUGGGGAAUAUUGCACAAUGGGCGAAAGCCUGAUGCAGCGACGCCGCGUGAGGGAUGACGGCCUUCGGGUUGUAAACCUCUUUCAGUAGGGAAGAAGCGAAAGUGACGGUACCUGCAGAAGAAGCACCGGCUAACUACGUG
rnacentral:rRNA from 1 species